rnacentral:rRNA from 1 species
AUUGAACGCUGGCGGCAGGCCUAACACAUGCAAGUCGAGCGAGCGGCGGACGGGUGAGUACUGUCUGGGAAACUGCCUGAUGGAGGGGGAGAACUACUGGAAACGGUAGCUAAUACCGCAUACCAUCAGAUGUGCCCCGAUGAGAUUAGCUAUUAGGUGGGGUAACGGCUCACCUAGGCGACGAUCCCUCGCUGGUCUGAGAGGAUGACCAGUCAAACUGGAACUGAGACACGGUCCAGACGCCUACGGGAGGCAGCAGUUGGGAAUAUUGCACAAUGGGCGCAAGCCUGAUGCAGCCAUGGCGCGUGUGGUAAGAGGGCCUUCGGGUUGUAAAGCACUUGCAGCGGGGAGGCGUUACCCGCAGAAGAAGCACCGGCUAACUCCGUGCCAGCAGCCGCGGUAAUAC